AGAGAGAGAGAGAGAGACAAGAGCAGAGUAGAGUGCAUGCCAGGAAAGUGAGAUGUGGAUAACAACGCGGCCAAGUCUUCAGAAUGGCACGAAACCCAACGGAAGUGCGAGGAAUACGCGGGUCGGAGAGUAGACCGAGUGACUGACUGGAGGACACAAAGAGCGACAGUGAGGAGAGUCGAGAUUGACGAGGGUGCCAAAUGCCGGAGAUUCCAAAGGAGACCGCAACGAAUGCGCUGAAAGCUCAAGCUGGAGCUGACGAGAGUGAGUGAUUUUGGUAGCAGGACCCAGACCCCAGACCCCAGAGCCCAGACCCCACAGCCCACAUCCCAGAGCAGGAUCUGUUACUUGGAAUGCUAUACAGCGGCAGAGGAAACAAGAAUACAUCGUAAUGAACAUGUGCGUAUGAAUGCCGGGAAGGGAAUGCAAAUUAAUGUUUCAUUCGGAUGGUAAGGAAUGCAAGGAAUGCUCAUCCACUGAACAGAAAUGAGGGGCCCUCUCUAAUGUGGCUGAGUGAAUGAUUCAUUUAGGAAAUAACUAAAUGAGUGCGAUGAUUCAAUUGAUAUGUUUGAAUGCCUGAAAGAGAUACAUGUACAUGUCCUUAGAUAGAGUGGCUA